UCUGCAUGUAGCUCAGUUGGUUAGAGCGCUGCAACGGAAUCGCAGGGGCGCAGGUUGCAUUCCUGCCAGAGAA